rnacentral:lncRNA from 1 species
GAAGGGCUGAGGCUCACGGUUUCGGAGUAAGGGGAGCGGCCCGGCGAGCCGCCGCGCCUGGGUUAAGAGCUGCAGGAGGAACGUGGCUUCACGAGUUCGGCUCCUCGGCCAUCCACAGCCCGGGCCUCCGCCUCUGCUGACCUGGCGGCUGUAGAAGGCAGAAGAGGCCUGAAACCUGCAGCAGGAGCACCACCCUGCCCCGCGGCCCCGCGCGCCCUCCAGUGGCGUCAUCCCAUCCGCUUUGAUCUCGACUGGCGCGCCUACCCUCGGCAGCGGCACCCCUUGGGAGCGCAAUCGCGGGCAGACUCCGAGGACCCAUCUUGCGAAAGUUCUGCGAGGUCCUGACUUUAAGGGAACAGGGGUCGUACUUGGGCCAUGGCCGGAAGGGAGAUCCAACAUCCAUGACGACGUCUACCCCCCAGCCUGCCCCUUCAGAGCCCAGUCUGUGCCUUGCGUCAAAGUCAAGCAAGGGCUCUUGUAGGGCACCGAGCCCCAGCCAAAAUCACCCUUUUCUUUCAGAUAGCCCCCACUUACCCCCAGAAACCUUACUCUCUCCCUCGGGAGCAGGUGGGAAGUGAAAGGCCGGGGGGGCUGUUUCUGCUCUGCUUGUCUGUACCUGUGGCCCUUGAGUGGAAAACCCCGCCGCUGGACCAAAGACCUGGAGGCUCCAGGAUUGCCCACUUGGGACCCUGACUAUGAAGGGUCAAGAUAGCCCAUUCUGCCCCAGCACUCAGAGCCCUAUUACCAAGGCCCCUACUCCAAGAAUCCACCAUCAAAACCGGGGCCCUGCCAGUGCCUUCCCAGUGUUCAGGCCUAGGGAAGAAUAGCCCCAUUAUGCCUGUUACUCCUGAUCCUUCUGCAGUCUCUCUCUUUGUGACCCCAUGGCCUUUGCUGCUAUGUCUGCCCUGGCCCCACAGAGUGCCAGGUCAGAGCCACCCUGGCCUACAUAGCAGGGCCCCGGUUCACAGGCUAAAACCUGGGCCUCCUGCCAGGCUGCAACUCCCAGCUGCACACCGCAACCUGAGACAUCUCAGCAUAUUCUAGGAACUAGUAAUGGGGACGCUUCCGACUCGCUGGGGAAGGGAGAUGAGGGCCUCUAGCUCUCCAUGCCCAGUCUCUCAUCAUCAAAGUCAUUUAAGGCCCCAGCGACCCCAGGGUUCAGCAGCAUCCUGUUCAUCAUGAGCAGAGGGGUGACUGAAUAGAAUGGGAGGCAGGUGUGGCCUGAGCAGUUCCCAACCUGAAUUUUCCUUUGAGCUUGGUGAUUUGGGGCGGGGGAUUGAGAUAUUUUCCUUUCACUUGUGGGAAAUCUUGGGGCCCCACAAAUCACUAAGCUGAAGGGAAAAGUCAAGCUGGGAACUACUCAGGGCAAACCUGCCUCCCAUUUUAUUCAGUCACUCCUCUGCUCGCUGAGAUAGACACAUACCUGAUUGCCUCCUUUGGAGAGGCUUGUCAGAAACAAAAUAAUGCAACCAUUUGUCUCUCAGCUACCUGCGACCUGGAAGCCCCCUCCCCACUUCGAGUUGUCCCCGCCUUUCUGGACGGAACCAACGUACUUCUUACAUAUAUCGAUUGAUGUCUCAUGUCUCCUUAAAAUGUAUGAAAACAAACUGUGCCCUGACCACCUUGGGCACAUGUCGCCAGGACUCCCUGAGGCUGUGUCACGGGCACGCAUCUUCAACCUUGGCAAAAUAAAGUUUCUGAAUUAACUGAAAAAAAAAAAAAAAAAAAAAAAAAAAAAAA